rnacentral:miRNA from 1 species
AAAGUUGAAGGUAAGUUAAGAUUAAAAAAAAUGGGAAGAGUGAGUAAAAGAGCAGCAAGAGACAAAGACGGGGAACAGGCAGAGCAUGGAUGCAACUAUUAACAGUCUUUUAACUGUUUUGGCUUCACCCAUGCACUGCCUCUUCCCUGGCUCUGGCUCCUUCUUCUCCUCUUUCUUUAUAAAUUUUGUUAACGGUUUCAGGCAUGAUUUAAGUUUUUCAUUUAUUUUUACUAACUAUGCACUUUUGGUUUAGUUUUCAUGCUCUUAUGUUUCCUUCAUUGUACGUAUAUCAAGUCUCAAUUGUGAUUUAGACAUUGACUGCUGGAUGUCUAGCAACUGAUUACUGGGUGAGUGAAAAAGAGAACAGAUCAUGCAAUAGUGUGGUUUUGGCUAAUUUCUAGAAGGAGACCGGCAAAGGAAAAUCAUGGUUGAAUUCGUUUAAACUAUGAAAUUGUGUAGACAGAAAUGCAGGUUCAUUUUUUUUUUUUAUUGUAAUUGGCUUAUGGGCCUCAGUUGUUAUCAAAUGGUUGUAACUAUAUUUGCUGUGGAAUAAAACUUGCUACUUAUUAAACUAUAAAGUUGAAAAAAAAAAUGAAAAAGAAAAAACCCUCUCAAAAAAAAAAAAAAAAAAAAAAAA